AAAACCAGUCUUUUCUAAAAAUAGCUAAAGCCGUGCUCGGAACCCCCGAGCGGAAAGUCUCAUGAAUCUGGUCGUAAAAUUGUUUACCUUCAACCCGAAGCAGAGAGGCCGUACAUAGUAGUGGCACUCAAACUAAACAUCAUAACCUUAACAGCUAAAUGAUGGAAGUUGAAAGCAAUCUGCA